UCCGGUUUGGCACCGGCAGUCUUCCUAGAGUCCCCGGCAUGACCCGCUGGUAACUAAGGGCAAAGGUUUCGCUCGUUAAGGGACUUAACCCGACAUCUCACGACACGAGCUGACGACAGCCAUGCAGCACCUGUACCAGUUGUACCCCGAAGGGCCUACCCUACUUUCAUAGGGAUAAUCCUGGCAUGUCAAGCCCAGGUAAGGUUCUUCGCGUUGCGUCGAAUUAAACCACAUGCUCCACCGCUUGUGCGGGCCCCCGUCAAUUCCUUUGAGUUUCAACCUUGCGGUCGUACUCCCCAGGCGGGGUACUUCCUGCGUUAGCGCCGGCACCCAGAGGGUCGCUCCCCCAGGCACCUAGUACCCAUCGUUUACGGCGUGGACUAC
rnacentral:misc_RNA from 1 species